UUCUAAUAUCUGUCAAUAAUUUUAUGAUCUAAAUGCUAAAUUCAUUUAUUUGGAUUACUUCAGCGUCAGAAGGUUAUUAACAAAUUAUUAACUGUGAUAUUUUCUAUAGACCAAACAGGGCUUUAUAAAUAAUGUCACUUUUAAUUUAAGAAGUUAAAAUUUAAGUUGUUCAAAGCAUUUGUAAAUAUAGAGCAAUGUUUAAAGUUGUGUUAUUGACAGGGAAACACAAAGUCCAGUGGAGUUUAAAGUGAGAGUGUGAAAACAGACGCAGUCUCACCUGUGUUUCUCUGAGAGACUCAUCUGAGAGAGAGAGUCCUUUCCUCUUUCCUCUGACAUACUGCAGCUAAACUGACCCUGAAAA